CUAUGGGAUUUUUAUGUCAUUUUGUAAAAAAUAAGCUAAUUUUAUAUUUUCUUUAAAUUUUUGAAGAAUUAACGGUCGAUUUUCGUGUAAAAUAGAGUUAUAAUAAACUGUAUACUAAGUUUUGGCUAAAUUGUGUCAUUCUUUGUAUGAAAAAAGUUUAGAUUUUUGUGGGUGGUUCUUUAGGUUAGACUUCCAUAAUGGUUCAUCAUUGUUCUGCUUUUGGCUGUUCAAAUCGCUUCGUAAGGGGUUGUGGAAUUGGUUUUUAUCGAUUUCCAUCAGAUAAAAAACGACUGACAUCAUGGAUCAAAGCUGUUAGCCGUUAAAACUGGAUGCCAGGAAAAGAUGCUCUUAUUUGUGGAGCACAUUUUCAAACAGGUGCUGGGGAUGGAAGAGCGAUAGGUCGUGGACUUGGAUUAUGACCAACCAAUACUUGGAUUUCUCGACCCAGAUGUUUUUUUGCAACGUUUUAGACCUUAAGGAAGAUAUCGACUCGUUUCUCAAUGGCGAGUUGGAGCAGCUGAUGUCCAUUUCUGGAAGCCCUGCCUAUCGGACAUGGAAAACGUUUGGGUUGAGAUGGCUGAGAAACAUCAUUAAAAAGUGGUACUUGGAAGAUUCCAAAAUGUUUGAAGAGUUAAUCAUUCAAACAGCUUAUGAAAUUAGAAAGCUGGAAAUUGCAGAAUUUUACAACUUAAACUGCACCAAUGAUGUCAUCUAUAAUUAUCCACUGCAUAAACAAAGUAGAAUCAAGCAGUUUGAAAGAACCUGACUGGAUUAUAUCAAAUACCUGAAAGUGAGCAUGAGGUGAAGAAUUUGAAAGAAAAUUUUUUGAUUGGCUGAAGUAUACCUUCACUAAUCAUCAUGAUGAGGAGCAGAGCUUAAACAUGCUCCCUAAUGUUUUCAGCAACCUCCUUCAACCGAAUAGGAACACUAGAAUUUUCUAUUUUACACUUGCAAAGGACUCCAAGAACUGGUUCCAAAGUGGGAAGAAGACAGUUGUUUUCUUAUCAAGAACUGUGUGCUUUCAUACAGUAAACAUUAUAUUCAAUAUAUAUACAUGUCUUGUUUGCUUAGAUUACUUAUAGAAUAGCGUUUUGGUUAUUUACUUAUUCAUUGAUUUUGUCUGUUACUUUUUGUUGCAAGUUUGUCAAUGUUUUAUGUACUUAUUCAACUAUUUUUGUUUAUUUAACAAGAUAUAUAACUAUUUUACUAACAGGCUUAGCAAUAAAAGUAACAAAUAAGAUAAGUUACCUUGUG
rnacentral:lncRNA from 1 species